rnacentral:rRNA from 1 species
GACGAACGCUGGCGGCGUGCCUAAUACAUGCAAGUUGAGCGCUGAGGGCUUGUACUUGUACCAACUUGAUGAGCAGCGAACGGGUGUGUAACGCGUGUAGAAUCUGCCUUUGAGCGGGGUACAACAUUUGGAAACGAGUGCUAAUACCGCAUAAAAACUUUAAACACAAGGUUGAUUGUUGAAAGAUGCCAUUUCAUCACUCAAAGAUGAUCUCGCGGUUUAUUGGCUAGUUGGUGAGGUAAAGGCUCACCAAGGCGGUGAUACAUAGCCGAGCUGAGAGGGUGGUCGGCCAGAGUGGGAAUGGGACACGGCCAAAACGGCUACGGGAGACAGCCGUAGGGCAUACGCGGCGAUGGACGAAAGUCUGGCCGAGAAACGGCGCGUGAGUGAAGAAGGUUUUCGGAUCGUAAAACUCUGGUGGUAGGGAAGAAAGUUGGUGAGAGUGGAAAGCUCAUGAAGUGACGGUAAAUACCCAGAGAGGGACGGCUAACUACGUU